rnacentral:lncRNA from 1 species
GAGUGGUUAAAAGAUAGAACAGUCUAGCCAAGUGCCAUGUCUCUUAUUCUUGAUCAGCUAUAGCUUUGGGUUUUUUUGCAGAUUUUCAAAUAAAACUCAGAGAUUCCUUGUAUGAUUCUCUCAGGUCUCUCUUUUGUGGUAUUUCUGGAUCCUUACCAAGGCAGUGAUGGUAUAUGCCUUCUCUCAAAAUAUGUAGUAUUUGUGGUAUAAGGCAUAGUGACAUUGCCUUCUCUCUCACCCUACUCUAAUAAGGCUUUAAUAUCUGGAGCUCAUAGGUGGGAGAUAAAGUAUACAUACUUACAAGACAUUUAUUGCAUAGUCAAACCAUGGAUCCAAAGAAACAAAUCAAUAAGCCAAAUCAAGAUGUGCAUGUGUGGCGAAUGAAUGGUGUAUGGUGAUGAUGGUGAUGACAAUGGUGAAACAAUGGUGUUGAAAGUCUAAUUCUACUUUGCUCUUUUGAGGGGUUACAUACCUUCCUUGCUUUUUGAAACUUUAUGAGGAGAAUGAGAUGCUCUUCUUUUUCUUUUCCCUCAGGUGGGCAUCUUGUACCCCUAAUUCUACUGUCGGACACUUGUCCAUUUUUACCUCUCGUCUCACUUUUUUCUUUUCUUUUGAGGUUCCAAGCACUUGCUCCUUUUUAUUUCCUCGUAUCUUCUUCUUUUUUUUCAGAGCAUUCAUCUCUUGAGAUAAUAUAGCAUGUGGUAGUAACAUGAUAACUUGAGCAUUUAUUUCACAAGGGGAAAAUAGAAAUAUUUUUUGUUAUUCUCUCCCGGAUUAGGAGCAGAAUAUUUUUGGGUGAUUCUGAAGAUGGAAUGGGUGGAUAUAUGUGGAUGGUACUUCCGGAGUAGAAGUAGCAUAUAUGAGUGAACGUGCAAGUGAAAUCUUGAUUUAACCACAUGACAAGCUCCUAAGGGUCUACACAGCUUGACCACACUCAAUGCUCAUAAGCAGUAAAUAAUAAAUGUAUGGCUCAAAGUCUAGCAAGCAUGUAUAUAUGGCUGUGGUAGAAAUUUAAACUCUCAUCAUACAGGAACUCAUCAUGCAACAUUUUAAAGAUUUUCAAAGAUAAAAUUCUCCAGAAUUCUAGCAUCUCUAGGAACAGAUAAACAGCAGCUCAACCUUCCCAUAUCAUAUCCGUUAACAACUUAGACUUCAGAUCAAGUUUUCAUCCCACAAGUUUAGGUCUAGAGCAAGCUUUAAAUUAUAACAGUUAUAUCUAAACUUGAGAGAGAACUUAAAAUUUGCAAAUUAG